GAUGAACGCUGGCGGCGUGCCUAAUACAUGCAAGUCGAGCGAACAGACGAGAGUGCUUGCACUCUCUGACGUUAGCGGCGGACGGGUGAGUAACACGUGGGUAACCUACCUAUAAGACUGGGAUAACUUCGGGAAACCGGAGCUAAUACCGGAUAAUAUUUAGCUUCGCAUGAAGCAAUAGUGAAAGACGGUUCUGCUGUCACUUAUAGAUGGACCCGCGGUGUAUUAGCUAGUUGGUGAGGUAACGGCUCACCAAGGCAACGAUACAUAGCCGACCUGAGAGGGUGAUCGGCCACACUGGGACUGAGACACGGCCCAGACUCCUACGGGAGGCAGCAGUAGGGAAUCUUCCGCAAUGGACGAGAGUCUGACGGAGCAAUGCCGCGUGAGUGAAGAAGGUUUUCGGAUCGUAAAACUCUGUUGUAAGGGAAGAACAAGUACGUUAGUAACUGAACGUACCUUGACGGUACCUUACCAGAAAGCCACGGCUAACUACGUG
rnacentral:rRNA from 1 species